rnacentral:rRNA from 1 species
UACAGAGGUGGCAAGCGUUGUUCGGAAUUACUGGGCGUAAAGGGCGCGUAGGCGGUUCGAUAAGUCCCGUGUGAAAUCCCUCGGCUCAACUGAGGAACUGCACGGGAAACUAGCAGGCUUGAGUUCGGGAGAGGGAAGCGGAAUUUCGGGUGUAGCGGUGAAAUGCGCAGAUAUCCGAAGGAACACCGGUGGCGAAGGCGGCUUCCUGGACCGACACUGACGCUGAGGCGCGAAAGCGUGGGUAGCAAACAGG